AACGAAUUCGCCCUUAGAGUUUGAUCCUGGCUCAGAUUGAACGCUGGCGGCAGGCCUAACACAUGCAAGUCGAGCGUGAAAGUCCUUCGGGAUGAGUAAAGCGGCGGACGGGUGAGUAACGCGUAGGAAUCUACCUAGUAGUGGGGGAUAACGUUCCGAAAGGAACGCUAAUACCGCAUACGUUCUGAGGAAGAAAGCAGGGGAUCGCAAGACCUUGCGCUAUUAGAUGAGCCUGCGUCCGAUUAGCUAGUUGGUGGGGUAAAGGCCUACCAAGGCGACGAUCGGUAACUGGUCUGAGAGGAUGAUCAGUCACACUGGAACUGAGACACGGCCCAGACUCCUACGGGAGGCAGCAGUGGGGAAUCUUGCGCAAUGCGCGAAAGCGUGACGCAGCAACGCCGCGUGGGGGAAGAAGGCCUUCGGGUUAUAAACCCCUUUCAGUUGGGACGAAGCUUCGCCGGUUAAUAGCCGGCUGGAGUGACGGUACCUUCAGAAGAAGCCCCGGCUAACUACGUGCCAGCAGCCGCGGUAAUACGUAGGGGGCUAGCGUUGUCCGGAAUCAUUGGGCGUAAAGCGCGUGUAGGCGGUCCGGUAAGUCCGCUGUGAAAGUCGGGGGCUCAACCCUCGGAUGCCGGUGGAUACUGUCGGGCUUGAGUACGGAAGAGGCGAGUGGAAUUCCUGGUGUAGCGGUGAAAUGCGCAGAUAUCAGGAGGAACACCAAUUGCGAAGGCAGCUCGCUGGGACGUUACUGACGCUGAGACGCGAAAGCGUGGGGAGCAAACAGGAUUAGAUACCCUGGU
rnacentral:rRNA from 1 species